CGAGCCAUCGCGCGUGUCUCCGUUGUAACAAUCCUACCUGCCUGUGUACACGGUGCUCGUUAAAUUAUCGCCAAAGGCGACGAAUCGGGGACACUGUUUUAAGGGUAAUCACAGCAACGGACCUAGCGACGUCCCCGAGUGGAGAGUUAGUCCAGCCAGGCAUACCAGUGUCGGAGAACACGUAUGCACCGGACGCAUGGCCACGUCGGCGUCGCGUCGCGACGCUUCGCGUUGGCCGCCUAAGCCGCAUAGAGCACCUGGGACGAUAAUCUUUCGACGCGAAUGUUCCACGAUGGGGGCGGAUAUUGCGGACAAUAUCCGAUACUAAGGUCUCGUGGUCUCGCGCGCAUCUUGGCAGGCGAUGGAACGAAGCGACGAAGAAGCCGCGCGGUCGAAAAUGGGUGAAAAAUAACCGAGGAGUUUUAGCGAAAUUACUUAGACCCAAUUAAGUCGAGUUUACCUUAGAGCUAGACGGGAUUCGCGGCUUCAGCGUAUCAAGCUCGGUGGGAAGGGAAGAGGAGACGAAGCGAGAGCGAGCGGAAAGUAGCGGACAAGCAAAGGUGAGAGAAGGAGGGAGAGAGAACGAGAGAAGGGCGAUGGGAAUUCAGUUUCCCCCUGCUAAGAGGGUUUGCUUGUAUCCCUCGAGAUGCGUAUACGUCAUCCGAUUAAAAUUAGUAAUUAGCUAAUUAACUUAAGCGCGCAGCACUCCGGACUAAGUAAGUUGACCGCCUGAUUAUGACGCAUCGCUUCCGAGUUAGAAUCUGGCCACGCGUUCGCGCUGACCCGCGGAAAAAAGAAACGCA